rnacentral:misc_RNA from 1 species
GGACACGUGCAUACAAACAAGAAAAAGAUGUGUUCAUGGGACGGCAAUAUUAAGGAACAGAAAUAGGGUUGCGGGUGUGGGUGAAUAGAGAUGACAAUGGAGAAUGAGGGUUCAAAGAAGAUGGGAGUGCGUUAAGGUGGUUAUGUUAGGGAGGAUGGAGAUGAUGAGGAAGGGAUGGUGGGUAGGGGAAUGAGAAUUCAAUAGCCUUGGAGUAAAUUGUUUAAGGAGGUAGAGAGAGAUAUCGAAGAGAGAGGGAAAGAGACAUUGAGAGAGAAAGAAACAAGAAAGAGGUAGGG